rnacentral:rRNA from 1 species
GACGAACGCUGGCGGCGUGCUUAACACAUGCAAGUCGAACGGAAAGGCCCUGCUUUUGUGGGGUGCUCGAGUGGCAAACGGGAGAGUAACACGUGAGUAACCUGCCCUCGACUUUGGGAUAACUUCAGUAAACUGUGGCCAAUACCGGAUAGGGGCUCCUGCUGCCUGGUGGGGGCUGGAAAGUUUCGGAGGUUGUGGUUGGACUCGCGGUUUCUCAGCCUGUUAGUGGGGUAGUGGCUGACCAAGGCUUUGGCGGGUCGCCGGCCUGAGAGGGUGACCGGCCACCUUGGGUCGGAGAUACGGCCCAGACUGCUUCGGGCGGCAGGAGUGGGGAAUAUUGCACCAGGGGCGGGCGACUGACGGAGGAAGGCAGCGUGCGUGAUGAUGGCCUGCGGGUUGUACGCCGCUUUCGCCUGCGACGAAACGUGAGUGACGGGAAUGGGUAAAGAAGCACCGGGUAAAUACGGGC